GAAGGCUUGGAAGCACGCAAUGAGGUAAUUGUUUACCAGGAAAACCAUUUUAAAUCAUGAGAAUAUUUUAGUAAGCUGUAUAAGUUUUAUCAGCUGAAAUCACCACCAAAUUAGCAUGGAUUCAAAGUAAUUUCUCUUGUAACUAUACUUCUUCCUCGAUAACAUAUAAUAAGGGUUAUACUGUGAUAGGCACUUGCCAUUCUAGAAGUGGAGAUAUUAAUGAUAUCUUUGUCUUGUCAUUUUCGCUAUGCCUCCAUUUUGGUAUUCUAAUAAGAUUUUCAAUUCAAAAGUCAAUUGCUUUUAUUGGACAUUUCCUUAUACCCUUAGCAAAGACUUAAUGUUUCAAGACUGUUUGCACCCCUUUCUCUCUCAUUCUGCAUAAUUUAGUAUAGAAAAAUUGGGAAAAGAAAAUUUGAGGAUUACAACCAUGACAGUACCCCAAAAGUGUUGUUUGUGAUAUUAUUCUCUGUUUAUAAUAGGGAAAUUAGAGCUUUUGGCAUCUAUGGUAUGCUACAUGCUCAAAUUUGAUUAAUGAAAAGCUGUAUGCAUGCUGUUUGCUUGUGUAGUGUAAGCAUGAUAUAUUUGUGAGAGACUUUUGUGGCUAUACAUGCAUGGCUUUUCCUAACUAAUUUCAUGCCAUUCAGUUGCCACCCUUGGAAAUAUGAAAUGUGGCUAAUUUUGCAAACUCAAGAUUUGCCUGAUCAUUAUCUUCUCAUUGGUGAAAUGGCAUGAGUCAAAAGUCUCUCGUAUGUAUGACCUUCUGCUCUAUGCGUCUAUCACAUUCAGAUCUUCCCUUGAUUUUUUUCUCCUGUUCACAGUUUCUUUGGAAAUAAUAUUUGUAAACACUGUGUAAAUCUCCUCUUUUAGUUUUUCUAGAUGUUAGUAUCUUUUGUAUAGCUGUAAAUUAGUUCUUCCCAAUCUUGUAAUCUCUAAUCCUAUAAAUAUGUAAUUUUAAUUCUUUUAAAUUCUUCAGUCCUUUCCAAAUGAUGUGAAUAUGACAUGGCUGAUUUACAAGCUGUUUAUAAAUGUCAAUUGAAGAUAUCUAGGCUUCUUACUCAUGACUUCUUUUGCUGUACUUGCAAGUUUGUGGUUGCUGAUAGCAUUGGGCAUUGCAUUUUUCUCUUAAAACUUACCUGCUGAAAGAAAUUUUUAAAUUUUGAACUUCUUUUGCUGUUUUUUGUUGUUUCUUAUUUUAAGUCAUGCCCUGAAUUGGCCUUUUUCCUUGCACAUAGUUUUAAUAUGUCACCUGCAACUAGGUAGCAGCUCUUGCAAUGGAAGAUAUGAUAUCUUGGAUGCAAGAGGGUGGACAGGUAAGUUUUAUUUUUAAUUGUGAUAAUCUGCUACAUAUAUUUUACCCUGUUCUAAUAUAAAUUUUACGUGCAUUUAGGUGGGAAUAUUUGAUGCCACAAACAGUACAAGGAAUAGGAGGAAUAUGCUUAUGAAAAUGGCUGAAGGAAAAUGCAAGGUAUGAUGAUUUUGCGGCUAGUUGAUUAUAAUUCUGCGAGGAACUGUGCAGAGUAAGACUCAAUUUGUGGCAAAUCUUCCAAUAAAAUUUUCAUAGAUGUUAUAAUAGUUUGACAUGCAUAACAUGAAAGAUGAUCGUAGAGAAGCCACUUGAGGUUUCUCCCUCUCCCGCCCUUCUUUUUUUUUUUUUUUUUGGGGGUAUUGGGGCAGCGGUCUUGUGUGUUGGGUUAAGACUUCUGAAACAGAAGCUAGAGAAAGAUUCCUACAAUGCAGACUAUAGGUUAUGUGAAUUUUCCUGGGUGUGGACCACAAUGCCUUUGAGUACAAGUGCACACCACUCAACUCUGUAAGGCCUCUUUGUUUGUUUUCGACAGCAGUGCACAAGUUAUAUUUAAUCUGUGAUGGUGGUUUGCCUUGAUAUUCUUGCUUGGCAUCUAAUUUUUUAUAUGACAUAAACCAUAGCUGAUUCUCGGUGCCUUUUAGAGUGAGAGCCUGUUAGUGUGAUUACAUGUUCUUUGCUUCAGAUUAUCUUUUUGGAGACAAUAUGCAAUGAUCAGCAAAUAAUUGAAAGAAAUAUACGCCUCAAAGUUCAGCAGAGCCCUGACUAUGCGGAAGAGUAUGACUAAACUCGUUUCAUUGUAAUGCUAACCCACUGUAAUUUUACGUCGUGAUUCAUGAUAUUUUCAGGCCGGAUUUUGAAGCUGGAUAUCAUGACUUCAAACAUCGACUUGAGAACUAUGACAAAGUAGUUUCUUGAAACAUACUAUAGCUCAAGUUUUUAUUAUUAUUUUUUUGAUGGAUGCUAUGGGUAAUAGUGUUUUAUAGGUAGCAUUUUCUGAUUUCAGGUUUAUGAACCCGUAGAAGAAGGCUCUUAUAUCAAAAUGAUUGAUAUGGUCAGUGGCCAUGGUGGACAAAU
rnacentral:lncRNA from 1 species